rnacentral:rRNA from 1 species
UACGUAGGUGGCAAGCGUUGUCCGGAAUCAUUGGGCGUAAAGCGCGCGUAGGCGGCUUGUCAGGUCCGAUGUGAAAUCUUGAGGCUCAACCUUAAGCGUGCAUCGGAAACCGGCUUGCUAGAGUCUGGGAGAGGAGAGUGGAAUUCCUGGUGUAGCGGUGAAAUGCGUAGAUAUCAGGAGGAACACCGGUUGCGAAGGCGGCUCUCUGGAACAGUACUGACGCUGAGGCGCGAAAGCUAGGGGAGCGAACAGG